GUGGAUGUAGCUCAACAGUAGAGCAUCAGGUUGUGGACCUGAAGGUCGCGGGAGCAUCACCCGUCAUCCACCCA
rnacentral:tRNA from 1 species